rnacentral:tRNA from 1 species
CAGGAAUUAGUUUAUAGAAAAUUAUUCAUUUACGUUGAGUUGAUUUUAGUGCGAAUCUUUAAUUUCUGA